rnacentral:sRNA from 1 species
ACCUAGACCUGAUUGAAAUGGCAUUCCGGUUUUCGAUUAAUUUGCCUUUAUCGAGCAUUCACCGGAAUAUAAUGGAAAGCAGGAAACAGG